rnacentral:rRNA from 1 species
UGGUUCCGCGCCGACAAUGUAGCGGGGCUCAAGCACACCACCGAAGACGCGGCAGCAAUCUUCAUGGUUGCUGGGUAGGAGAGCGUCCUGCGAGGGGCGAAGCGGCGGUGGAAACCGGCCGUGGACUUCGUGGGAGUGAGAAUGCAGACAUGAGUAGCGAGAGACGGGUGAGGAUCCCGUCCGCUGGAUGACCAAGGGUUCCGGGGCCACGUUCGUCGUCCCCGGGUGAGUCGGGUCCUAAGGCGAGGCCGACAGGCGUAGUCGAAUGGAUGAACGGGUGGAUAUUCCCGUACCGACCAUGGACCGGCAAAACCGAGACGGUGAGUACUAACCUCCGCCUCGUGGUGGUUCCUUCCUUCGGGUUGGUGUCGCCGCGUGGUGUUGGGACUGUAGCCGUAGUAGGUCAGCGCAGGGGUGACACGGAAUGGGAGCCGGCCGCGGAGGUGGUUUUCCGUGGUCAAGCACGCAGCCAGUCAUGUAGGCAAAUCCGCAUGGCGCGCAUGGCGAGGUGUGAUGAUGGGAGCCGUUAUGGCUCGAUAUCCGGUUGUCCAGGCCGUCGAGAAAAGCCUCGGCGUGAGGGCCAUGGCCGCCCGUACCCCAAACCGACACUGGUGGUCAGGUAGAGAAUACCAAGGCGAUCGAGCGAAUCCUGGUCAAGGAACUCGGCAAAUCACUCCCGUGCCUUCGGUAUAAGGGAGACCCACUGGGGUGAAGGACCUUGCGUCCGGAGCUUUGGUGGGUGGCACAGACCAGGGGGUAGCGACUGUUUACCAAAAACACAGGUGCAUGCGAAGGCGAAAGCCGCUGUAUAUGCACUGACGCCUGCCCGGUGCCGGAAGGUUAAGAGGAUCCGUCAACUCUUCGGAGCGAAGCGGUGAAUUCAAGCCCCGGUAAACGGCGGUGGUAACUAUAACCAUCCUAAGGUAGCGAAAUUCCUUGUCGGGUAAGUUCCGACCUGCACGAAUGGCGUAACGACUUCCCCACUGUCUCGACCAGGAGCUCGGCGAAAUUGCAGUACGAGUAAAGAUGCUCGUUAAGCGCAGAAGGACGAAAAGACCCCGGGACCUUUACUAUACCUUGGUAUUGGCGUUAGGCGCGGAUUGUGUAGCAUAGGCGGGAGGCUUCGAAGCGUGGGCGCCAGCUCAUGUGGAGCCGCAAGGUGAAAUACCGCUCUGUUCUCGUUUGACGUCUAACCUCGACAAGUCAUCCUUGUCAGGGACAGUGCCUGGCGGGUAGUUCAACUGGGGCGGUUGCCUCCCAAAGAGUAACGGAGGCGCUCAAAGGUCCGCUCAGCCCGGUUGGCAAUCGGGUGUCGAGUGUAAUCGCACAAGCGGGCUUGACUGCGAGGACGACGGUCCGAGCAGGGACGAAAGUCGGAGAUAGUGAUCCGGUGCCGGCGCACGGGCGCGGCAUCGCUCAACGGAUAAAAGGUACCCCGGGGAUAACAGGCUGAUCAUUCCCAAGAGUCCAUAUCGACGGGAUGGUUUGGCACCUCGAUGUCGGCUCGUCGCAUCCUGGGGCUGGAGCAGGUCCCAAGGGUUCGGCUGUUCGCCGAUUAAAGCGGCACGCGAGCUGGGUUCAGAACGUCGUGAGACAGUUUGGUCUCUAUCCUCUGCGCUCGUUGGAAUCCUGAGGAGGCCUGCCCAUAGUACGAGAGGACCUGGGUGGACGAACCUCUGGUAUGCCGGUUGUCGCGCCAGCGGCACGGCCGGUUGGCUACGUUCGGGAGGGAUAACCGCUGAAAGCAUCUAAGCGGGAAGCCUGCUCCAAGAUUAGGAUUCCAUGGAUCUUCGAGAUCCUGUAGCCCGCAUGUUGAACACGUGUUUGAUAGGCCGGAGGUGGAAGCCCCGUGAGGGGUGGAGCCGACCGGUACUAACGGGCGACGGCGACAUAAC